rnacentral:tRNA from 1 species
UCCCUGGCAGUCCAGUGGUUAAGACUCUGCACUUACACUGCAGGGGGUGCAGGUUCAAUCCCUGGUCAGGGAA